GGUCCAUGGAUAGCCAACAAAAGCUACGAUAUCGAUUGACAAGAUGAUAUCACCUAUAAUAUCAGUCCAAGAUCCUUCACUAGGAUCAAUCUGAGGUCCACAAAAUUAAGAAUCUUAGUGUUGCCCAAAUAGACAAUUCAAGAGAGGGGGUGGAUUGGAUUUUUCAAAAAUUUAAAACUUGCUGUAUACAAUAAAUAAGCUAAGUGAGGCAAUAUGAAGGAGAGGUAUGCGAUAAACAAGAAUG
rnacentral:lncRNA from 1 species